UACGUGGGGGGCGAGCGUUGUCCGGAAUCAUUGGGCGUAAAGAGCGUGUAGGCGGCUUGGCAAGUCUGACGUGAAAGCCCGCGGCUCAACCGCGGAUUGUCGUUGGAAACUGCCUCGCUAGAGUCCGGAAGAGGAGAGCGGAAUUCCUGGUGUAGCGGUGGAAUGCGCAGAUAUCAGGAGGAACACCGGUGGCGAAGGCGGAUCUCUGGGCCUUACCUGACGCUGAGGCGCGAAAGCUAGGGGAGCAAACAGG
rnacentral:rRNA from 1 species